GGGCCGGUGGCGCAGCCUGGAACGACCAGUGGGCAAUUAGCGCACCAGACUUUUAAUCUGGCUGUCGCGGGUUCGAAUUGAACACGAAAGUCCCGUCCGGCCCA
rnacentral:tRNA from 1 species